AGAGUUUGAUCAUGGCUCAGGACGAACGCUGGCGGCGUGCUUAACACAUGCAAGUCGAAGGCAGGGAGCAAUCCCUGACUGGCGAACGGGUGCGUAACACGUGAGCGAUCUACCCUGGUGUGGGGGAUAGCCGGCCCAACGGCCGGGUAAUACCGCAUGCGUUCUCUGGGGGGCAUCCCCUGGAGAACAAAGCCUUCGGGCGCACUGGGAGGGGCUCGCGGCCUAUCAGCUAGUUGGCGGGGUAAUGGCCCACCAAGGCGACGACGGGUAGCUGGUCUGAGAGGAUGGCCAGCCACAUUGGGACUGAGAGACGGCCCAGACUCCUACGGGAGGCAGCAGUGGGGAAUCUUGCGCAAUGGGCGAAAGCCUGACGCAGCGACGCCGCGUGCGGGAGGACGGCCUUCGGGUCGUAAACCGCUGUUGCCCGGGACGAAUGCCCCUUUCGAGGGGAGUGACGGUACCGGGUGAGGAAGCACCGGCUAACUCCGUGCCAGCAGCCGCGGUAAUACGGAGGGUGCGAGCGUUGUCCGGAAUCACUGGGCGUAAAGGGCGCGUAGGCGGCUCUAGGAAGGCGGCGGUGAAAGCCCGGGGCUCAACCCCGGGUCGGCCGUGGCGACUCCUGAGCUCGAGCACAGUAGAGGCGGGUGGAAUUCCGGGUGUAGCGGUGGAAUGCGUAGAGAUCCGGAAGAACACCGGUGGCGAAGGCGGCCCGCUGGGCUGUGGCUGACGCUGAGGCGCGACAGCGUGGGGGAGCAAACAGGAUUAGAUACCCUGGUAGUCCACGCCGUAAACGAUGGGCACUAGGUGCCUGGGGGAGCGACCCCCUGGGUGCCGGCGCUAACGCAUUAAGUGCCCCGCCUGGGGAGUACGGCCGCAAGGCUGAAACUCAAGGAAUUGACGG
rnacentral:rRNA from 1 species